rnacentral:rRNA from 1 species
CGUACACUCCUGCGGGAGGCAGCAGUGGGGAAUAUUAGACAAUGGGCGCAAGCCUGAUCCAGCCAUGCCGCGUGAGUGAUGAAGGCCCUAGGGUUGUAAAGCUCUUUCACCGGAGAAGAUAAUGACGGUAUCCGGAGAAGAAGCCCCGGCUAACUUCGUGCCAGCAGCCGCGGUAAUACGAAGGGGGCUAGCGUUGUUCGGAAUUACUGGGCGUAAAGCGCACGUAGGCGGAUCGAUCAGUCAGGGGUGAAAUCCCAGGGCUCAACCCUGGAACUGCCUUUGAUACUGUCGAUCUGGAGUAUGGAAGAGGUGAGUGGAAUUCCGAGUGUAGAGGUGAAAUUCGUAGAUAUUCGGAGGAACACCAGUGGCGAAGGCGGCUCACUGGUCCAUUACUGACGCUGAGGUGCGAAAGCGUGGGGAGCAAACAGGAUUAGAAACCCUAGUAGUCCCAU